rnacentral:rRNA from 1 species
GGAAAUUGACGGGGCCCGCACAAGCGGUGGAGCAUGUGGUUUAAUCGAUGCAACGCGAAGAACCUUACCUGGGCUUGACAUCCCGAGAAUCCCCUGGAAACAGGGGAGUGCCCUUCGGGGAGCUCGGAGACAGGUGCUGCAUGGCUGUCGUCAGCUCGUGUCGUGAGAUGUUGGGUUAAGUCCCGCAACGAGCGCAACCCUUGUCUUUAAUUGCCAUCAUUGAGUUGGGCACUUUAAAGAGACUGCCGGUGUUAAACCGGAGGAAGGUGGGAUGACGUCAAGUCAGCAUGGCCUUUAUGUCCAGGGCUACACACGUGCUACAAUGGUUGGUACAAAGGGUUGCCAAGCCGUGAGGCGGAGCCAAUCUCAAAAAGCCAACCUCAGUUCGGAUUGCAGUCUGCAACUCGACUGCAUGAAGUUGGAAUCGCUAGUAAUCGCUGAUCAGCAGGCAGCGGUCGAAUACGUUCCCGGGCCUU